rnacentral:tRNA from 1 species
GGGCCCGUAGCCCAGUAUGGAUUAAGUCGCCGAACCACAAUAGGCUAAAAGGUGCGCAAGCCUCCGGGCUAAAACGGAAGAAAGCCGGAGAACAGGGGUUCAAAUCCCCUCGGGCCCGCCA